rnacentral:lncRNA from 1 species
GCAAGGAGUUCCUGGAGGAGGUUAUCCAGCGCAUGGAUGUGAGCCCGGCUGGGACGCACAUCGCAGUUCUGCAGUACUCAUACACAGUAAACGUGGAGUACACCUUCAAGGAGGCCCAGUCCAAGGAGGAUGUGCUGCGACAUGUGCGAGAGAUCCGCUACCAGGGGGGCAACAGGACAAACACUGGGCAGGCCCUGCAGUACCUUUCUGAGCACAGCUUCUCUCCCAGCCAGGGGGACCGGGAGCAGGCACCUAACCUGGUCUACAUGGUCACGGGGAACCCUGCCUCUGAUGAGAUCAGGAGGUUGCCUGGAGACAUCCAGGUGGUACCCAUUGGGGUGGGCUCCAGGGCCAACCUGCAGGAACUGGAGAGGAUCAGCAGACCCA